GUGGCUGGAAUGACAGUGAUAGGAGAGCAGAGUGUAUAUGGUUACUUUAAAAGGCCUUGGUUUUAAAAUGUAUUAAGAAAACAAUUACAGUAACCACAGAGAAUACUGACAAAAAUUGAAUUUUGUAUUGAUCAUUAUGAUAACAGGCAUAAUACUAAUCCUUAACACUAAGCGAUACUUUGAAUAAAAGUCAGUAGAUGGGACACUCCCUUCAGAGCUACAACCUCAACAAAAAUGAUGGAUAAUAUAUGGCCAACAUUUUUAUAUGUUUAUGUUAGGACAGUUUAACCUGUAUUAUAUACAGUCUGUUAGGUCAGUUGAGCCUGUAUUAUAUGCAGUCUUUGUUAAAUCAGUUUAAUCUGUAUUAUAUACAGUCUUUGUUAAUUCAGUUUAACCUCUAUUAUAUACGGUCUAUGUUAACCUGUUUUAUAUUGUCUAUGUGCGUUGCACCCACACCGAGCUCCACUGAAACAGCUUUUGACUGGCAUUUUACAGGUGAAAAGCUAGCGGGAUAUACUUCUGAACAUCCAUCAAAAAUGUCCCCUAUGUAUUAAAUACAUUGGGUACAUCUCCUGA